GAGAGCCAAUUAGAAGAUUAGAUGGUGCUUAGAUUUGAAGACUCAAGGUACAUCUGAGAGUUAUUUAUUUUGGAAGGUCACCUAAGGUCGCCUCCCCAUUAGGAUGGUUUUGAGGGAUAGAAGCAUGGACCUUCUAUUUACCUGUCCUUAUUAUGGGAUGGGUGACAAGACUGUGCGGUAGUCAUGGGCAUUGGGCCGUGUCUAGCAUGGCCCGACUCAGGCCCAUCGAGUCAGAAUCCAAAUGGGCCAUGCCAGGGC
rnacentral:lncRNA from 1 species